ACCUUACAGUUCUAGUGGUUAGGAUUCGGCGCUCUCACCGCCGCGGCCCGGGUUCGAUUCCCGGUCAGGGAA
rnacentral:tRNA from 1 species